rnacentral:rRNA from 1 species
AGCGAACGCUAGCGGCAGGCUUAACACAUGCAAGUCGAGCGCCAGGUUUCGGCCUGGAGCGGCGAACGGGUGAGUAACACGUAGGUCACGUACCCUAUGGUGGCGAAUACCCCGGGGAAACUCGGAUCAAUGCCCCAUAUGUCCGAAAGGAUGAAAGCGCUUCGGCGCGCCAGAGGAUCGGCCUGCGGCCCAUUAUUUAAUCCUAGUUGGUGAGGUAACGGCUCACCAAGGGUACGAUGGGUAGCUGGUCUGAGAGGACGAUCAGCCACACUGGAACUGAGACACGGACCAGACUCCUACGGGAGGCAGCAGUGGGGAAUAUUGGACAAUGGGCGAAAGCCUGAUCCAGCCAUGCCGCGUGAGUGAUGAAGGCCUUCGGGUUGUAAAGCUCUGUCGUGGGGGAAGAAGUUCUGACGGUACCCCACAAGAAAGCACCGGCUAACUCCGUGCCAGCAGCCGCCGUAA